GUCCACGCCCUAAACGAUGUCGACUAGGUGUUGGGGAAGGAGACUUCUUUAGUACCGUAGCUAACGCGUGAAGUCGACCGCCUGGGGAGUACGGUCGCAAGAUUAAAACUCAAAGGAAUUGACGGGGACCCGCACAAGCGGUGGAUGAUGUGGAUUAAUUCGAUGCAACGCGAAAACCUUACCUACCCUUGACAUGCCAGGAACCUUGCUGAGAGGUGAGGGUGCCCGAAAGGGAGCCUGGACACAGGUGCUGCAUGGCUGUCGU
rnacentral:rRNA from 1 species